AACAAUAAUGUUUAUUUUUAUAACAUAUAAGGAUUCGCCGGAAUUAUCCGUACGAAGAGCGUCAGAAAUAGAUGAUUCCACUGAAAAAAUGUUGUUGGUUAAUCCUAUAUGUCCUGUCAGAAUCAUGUUGGAGUAUAUACGAAAGAAAUGCAGGCUUGGUAUAUUCACACAGUUUGAUUUAUGUGACGAAUCUGGAGCAUUAAAAGGACUAUUCAAUAUGCCGACCUAUGCAUAUGUAACUGACCAGUUCGAGCAUAAAAAAACAUAUUACCUCAUUGUAUUGAAAAUGGAAUUUGACAAAAAGAUAUCCGUUCUACCACAAUUAAACCGGGAGGAUGCGCGUUACGAAGACUUAAAGAAUAAGGUGACGAAUUUUAUAUCGGGCGAGAGUCCUAAUAGAUCUCCUCCACCAGCGCCAACUCCUUCAGGGAAGACUACACCAAUGUUAAAAGUCGGAGCUAAGAAGAAAUAACAAAUUCUUUCAUGUUUUUUCACGGUUAUAUAAUUGAAACCUAUUUUAAACGACUUCCGAAUACCCCUAGGUGGUCAUUAUGAGUGAUUGGCCAUUUAAUUCAUUAUGUCGGUUGCUUCCUUAAAACAGACAUUAAACUUCGUAGCUGGACGCCAUUAUUUGUUAUUAUAUACUUAAUUAUAUUUAUA